rnacentral:rRNA from 1 species
GUGAGGAAUUUUCCGCAAUGGGCGAAAGCCUGACGGAGCAAUGCCGCGUGAAGGAUGAAGGCCUAUGGGUUGUAAACUUCUUUUCUCAGAAAAGAAUUAUGACGGUAUCUGAGGAAUAAGCAUCGGCUAACUCUGUGCCAGCAGCCGCGGUAAGACAGAGGAUGCAAGCGUUAUCCGGAAUGAUUGGGCGUAAAGCGUCUGUAGGUUGUUUAAAAAGUAUUCUGUCAAAGAUUAGGGCUUAACCCUAGAUAGGCAGAAUAAACUUUUAAGCUAGAGUGUGGUAGAGGCAGAGGGAAUUCCCGGUGGAGCGGUGAAAUGCGGAGAUAACGGGAGGAACACCAAAGGCGAAGGCACUCUGCUGGGCCAAUACUAACACUGAGAGACGAAAGCGAGGGGAGCAAAUGGGAUUAGAAACCCUGGUAGUCC